rnacentral:rRNA from 1 species
GAUGAACGCUGGCGGCGUGCCUAAUACAUGCAAGUCGAGCGAACGGACGAGAAGCUUGCUUCUCUGAUGUUAGCGGCGGACGGGUGAGUAACACGUGGAUAACCUACCUAUAAGACUGGGAUAACUUCGGGAAACCGUAGCUAAUACCGGAUAAUAUUUUGAACCGCAUGGUUCAAAAGUGAAAGACGGUCUUGCUGUCACUUAUAGAUGGAUCCGCGCUGCAUUAGCUAGUUGGUAAGGUAACGGCUUACCAAGGCAACGAUGCAUAGCCGACCUGAGAGGGUGAUCGGCCACACUGGAACUGAGACACGGUCCAGAGUACUACGGGAGGCAGCAGUAGGGAAUCGGCCGCAAUGGGCGAAAGCCUGACGGAGCAACGCCGCGUGAGUGAUGACGGUCUUCGGAUCGUAAAACUCUGUUAUUAGGGAAGAACAUAUGUGUAAGUAACUGUGCACAGAUUGACGGUACCUAAUCAGAAAGCCACGGCUAACUACGUG